GACGGAGGGUGCAAGCGUUGUCCGGAAUCACUGGGUGUAAAGGGUGUGUAGGCGGGGCUGUAAGUCAGAGGUGAAAGCCCGCGGCUUAACCGUGGAACUGCCUUUGAUACUGCAGCUCUUGAGUCCUGGAGAGGUCACUGGAAUUCGUGGUGUAGCGGUGAAAUGCGUAGAUAUCACGAGGAACACCGGAGGUGUAGACGGGUGACUGGACAGUGACUGACGCUGAGGCACGAAAGCGUGGGGAGCAAACAGGAUUAGAAACCCCUGUAGUCC
rnacentral:rRNA from 1 species